CAGUAGCCGCGGGAAUGCGGAGGGUGCAAGCGUUAAUCGGAAUUACUGGGCGUAAAGCGCACGCAGGCGGUCUGACAAGUCAGAUGUGAAAUCCCCGGGCUUAACCUGGGAACUGCAUUUGAAACUGUCAGGCUGGAGUCUUGUAGAGGGGGGUGGAAUUCCAGGUGUAGCGGUGAAAUGCGUAGAGAUCUGGAGGAAUACCGGUGGCGAAGGCGGCCCCCUGGACAAAGACUGACGCUCAGGUGCGAAAGCGUGGGGAGCAAACAGGAUUAGAUACCCCUGUAGUCCCUGUCUCUUAUAU
rnacentral:rRNA from 1 species